UACGUAGGGUGCGAGCGUUGUUCGGAAUUAUUGGGCGUAAAGGGCUCGUAGGCGGUCUGUCACGUCAGGAGUGAAAACUCGGGGCUCAACCCCGAGCCUGCUUCUGAUACGGGCAGACUGGAGGUAUGCAGGGGAGAACGGAAUUCCUGGUGUAGCGGUGAAAUGCGUAGAUAUCUGGAGGAACACCGGUGGCGAAGGCGGCGUUCUGGACUGCAACUGACACUGAGGAACGAAAGCCAGGGGAGCAAACGGG
rnacentral:rRNA from 1 species